rnacentral:rRNA from 1 species
CAAUAGCGUAUAUUAAAGUUGUUGCAGUUAAAAAGCUCGUAGUUGGAUUUCUGGUUGAAGCGACCGGUCGGGCGUUGAUUCGUCUGCACUGGAGUCGGUUUUGGCCAUCCUCUAGGAAAGUGCGUCUGGUAUUAAGUUAUCGGGCGUAUGAUCCUGGUCUUUUACUGUGAAAAAAUUAGAGUGUUUAAAGCAGGCCUUCGCCUUGAAUACAUUAGCAUGGAAUAAUAAGAUAGGACUUUGGUCUAUUUUGUUGGUUUGCAGACCGAAGUAAUGAUUAAUAGGGAUAGUUGGGGGUAUUUAUAUUCCGAUGUCAGAGGUGAAAUUCUUAGAUUUUCGGAAGAUGAACUUAUGCGAAAGCAUUUACCAAGGAUGUUUUCAUUA